rnacentral:rRNA from 1 species
GACGAACGCUGGCGGCGUGCUUAACACAUGCAAGUCGAACGGAAAGGCCCUGCUUUUGUGGGGUGCUCGAGAGGCGAACGGGAGAGAAACACGUGAGUAAACUGCCCUUGACUUUGGGAUAACUUCAGGGAAAUGGGGCUAAUACCGGAAAGGAGCUCCUGCUGCGUGGUGGGGGUUGGAAAGUUUCGGCGGUUGGGGAUGGACUCGCGGCUUGUCAGCUUGUUGGUGGGGUAGUGGCUUACCAAGGCUUUGACGGGUAGCCGGCCUGCGAGGGUGACCGGCCACAUUGGGUCUGAGAUACGGCCCAGACUCCUACGGUAGGCAGCAGUGGGGUAUAUUGCACAAUGGGCGGAAGCCUGAUGCAGCAACGCCGCGUGCGGGAUGACGGCCUGCGGGUUGUAUACCGCUUUCGCCUGUGACGAAGCGUGAGUGACGGUAAUGGGUAAAGAAGCACCGGCUAACUACGUG